GAAUGUCAGUAAAGGCUGCAAACUAGUUUGGAUGUGGUUCUGCAGUACCAAGUCUUCAGGUUUCCAAUGAUGAUCUUGCCAAAGUUGAUACUUCAGAUGAGUGGAUGUCUGUUCGCACUGGGAUCCCUAAUUGACGAGUUCUAACAGACGAACUCGUGCAUGAAGCUGAAUUGUAUAGGACUAGUCGGCACUUGUUAGAUUAAGGAUUCUAUUUUUGGAUAAAUGUGUAUGGAAAAUAUUUGGGUAGACUACUAGUUAUAUUUUUGGAUAGAUGCAUAUGGAUAAAAAUUUAAAACAUAAUAAUAACUACUUGUUUUGUUUUAAAUUUUUAUACUAGAUCGAUGUGAAUUGGAUGAUUAUAUGGUGGUGUUUGGGAAGUAUUUUUUUUUUUUUUGCUAAAAAAACACUAAAAGACAAAAUU